GGGUCAGCAGGUUGGUCGUGCCACCGGUACGUACUGGUCUCACUGAUUCCUCCUUCCUGAAGAACCGUAAUGCCAUUAAUUUGGUGUUGCGGGGAAACAGGACUGUUACUUUGAAAAAAUUAGAGUGUUUAAAGCAAGCUAACGCUUGAAUACGUUAGCAUGGAAUAAUGAAAUAGGACGAUCGAUCCUAUUUUGUUGGUUUCUAGGAUUGACGUA
rnacentral:rRNA from 1 species